GACGAACGCUGGCGGCGCGCCUAACACAUGCAAGUCGAACGAGCGAGAGGAGGAUUACUUUCUCAAGCGAGUGGCGAACGGGUGAGUAACGCGUGAGGAACCUGCCUCAAAGAGGGGGACAACAGUUGGAAACGACUGCUAAUACCGCAUAAGCCCACGACCCGGCAUCGGGUAGAGGGAAAAGGAGCAAUCCGCUUUGAGAUGGCCUCGCGUCCGAUUAGCUAGUUGGUGAGGUAAUGGCCCACCAAGGCGACGAUCGGUAGCCGGACUGAGAGGUUGAACGGCCACAUUGGGACUGAGACACGGCCCAGACUCCUACGGGAGGCAGCAGUGGGGAAUAUUGCACAAUGGGGGAAACCCUGAUGCAGCGACGCCGCGUGGAGGAAGAAGGUCUUCGGAUUGUAAACUCCUGUUGUUGAGGAAGAUAAUGACGGUACUCGACAAGGAAGUGACGGCUAACUACGUG
rnacentral:rRNA from 1 species